rnacentral:rRNA from 1 species
AACGCGAAGAACCUUACCCAGAUUUGAAAUACAGAGGACGAUAGCAGAAAUGUUAUUUCCCGCAAGGGUCUCUGAACAGGUGCUGCAUGGCUGUCGUCAGCUCGUGCCGUGAGGUGUUGGGUUAAGUCCCGCAACGAGCGCAACCCUUAUCAUUAGUUGCCAGCACGUAAUGGUGGGAACUCUAGUGAGACUGCCUGGGUUAACCAGGAGGAAGGUGAGGAUGACGUCAAGUCCGCAUGGCCUUUAUAUCUGGGGCUACACACGUGCUACAAUGGUCGGUACAGAAGGCAGCAAGACCGCAAGGUGGAGCAAAUCCGUAAAACCGAUCUCAGUUCAGAUUGUAGUCUGCAACUCGACUACAUGAAGUUGGAAUUGCUAGUAAUGGACGUGUCAGCAAUAACGUCGUGAAUACGUUCCCGGGCCUUGUACACACCGCUCGCGA